GAUGAACGCUGGCGGCGUGCUUAACACAUGCAAGUCGAACGAAGCAUUUGCGACAGAUUUUUUCGGAAUGAAGUUGCUUAUGACUGAGUGGCGGACGGGUGAGUAACGCGUGGGUAACCUGCCUUGUACUGGGGGAUAGCAGCUGGAAACGGCUGGUAAUACCGCAUAAGCGCACAAUGUUGCAUGACAUGGUGUGAAAAACUCCGGUGGUAUAAGAUGGACCCGCGUCUGAUUAGCUAGUUGGUGAGAUAACAGCCCACCAAGGCGACGAUCAGUAGCCGUCCUGAGAGGGUGACCGGCCACAUUGGGACUGAGACACGGCCCAGACUCCUACGGGAGGCAGCAGUGGGGAAUAUUGCACAAUGGAGGAAACUCUGAUGCAGCGACGCCGCGUGAGUGAAGAAGUAAUUCGUUAUGUAAAGCUCUAUCAGCAGGGAAGAUAGUGACGGUACCUGACUAAGAAGCUCCGGCUAAAUACGUG
rnacentral:rRNA from 1 species